UCCUACGGGGCGCAGCAGUCGGGAAUAUUGCGCAAUGGAGGAAACUCUGACGCAGUGACGCCGCGUAUAGGAAGAAGGUUUUCGGAUUGUAAACUAUUGUCGAUAGGGAAGAAAAAAGACUGCACCUAUCAAGAAAGCUCCGGCUAACUACGUGCCAGCAGCCGCGGUAAUACGUAGGGAGCAAGCGUUAUCCGGAUUUAUUGGGUGUAAAGGGUGCGUAGACGGGAAUUUAAGUUAGUUGUGAAAUCCCUCGGCUUAACUGAGGAACUGCAACUAAAACUGAAUUUCUUGAGUGCGGGAGAGGA
rnacentral:rRNA from 1 species